UGCACUUGGGAGCCCGGGACCGACGCGCACUGCUGCGGAGCGCCUUCCUGCGGGUCGGGGCCGUGGGAGGGUGUGACAGCAGACAGCUGGCUACGGCACGUGACCGGUGCUGCGAGGGGAAUCGAGGUUCCGCGUUCGGGAAGAGUCUGUGGAGCUUGGGUUGCAUGACCCGUUUCGGGAGUAUGCACUGUUGCACGAGACCAGCCUAGUUUCGGUACCUUUAAAGGCAUCAGUUGGGCUGCCCCAGGUCCUGCCUUUGCCUGUCUGUAAAGCGAUCCCAGGUGCUGCUUACAGUUUGAGGACUACUGAGUGUCCCUGCUGCUCCCACAGACAGUUGUUAGAUACGCUGAUUAGUUCAUAGAAUUGUUUAAACAAAACCAAUGAAGGAAUAAGCUCUAGAUUCUGAGGGGUGAAGAGGCACAAUCCAGACUGGUGGGGCUCUGCAGGUCAGCAAGAGGGUUGGCAGAUAUGGUGGUGACUUCAGCCACCUGGGAUUCCUCUGCAUUUCCCUCUGGCUCAUGUUCUAUUGUAGUUUUAGCUGUUUAAAACCCUCUGACAGUUCCUCCUUGCCUACAGGGUGUAAUUCAACCUAGAAGCCCCUCCUUGGGGGGAGGUUGCCUGCUUCUGUGACUUCAACUGCCCCUUUUGGUGGCCUUCAAGUUACCAGGCUAGUAAAUUCAGAAGGUUGUGAGCCCACCGAUAUGUCAUGCUGCGCCUAAAAUACCUUUCCCUGCCUGGUCCGGGCUUUUAUGCUUCCAAGACCUCCGACAUGUCUGAUCUAUGGGAUGUUCCUGGUUUUCAAAUUGGGUCAUCCAACCCGGCCUCCAAGAGCCAAUAUGUAGCACAUGCUAGAGAGUCGUGAACUAUUGCGAUAUUAUGUCACUGUUGGUAUGGGACAUAUCUUAAUUUUUUAAUUAUUUAUUUAUCUGUGGUACUGUUGAAAUCCAGGGACUACGCCUUUACCCCUGAGCUAUAUCUCUAGCCCUUUUUAUUUUGAGAUGAGUUCUCUCUUAGUUACCCAGGUUGGCCUCCAUUUUGGGAUCCUCCUGUAGCUCAGCCUCCUGAGUCACUGGGAUUGCAGGUAUGCACCACUGCACCCUGCUGUCUCUUCUCUUGACCAGUGUGGUGAUUAAGAAGGUGUAUUAGGGGUUCUAGAACACUGGAUUUGAAGUGUGGCUCCACACUUCUGGGUUGGGUUGCUUAUGUAGCUUCUUUAUGUCUCAGCUUCCCUGUUUGUAAUAUGGGGAUGAUAUUAGUACCUCCCCUCAGAGGUUUGCUCUGUUUCAUGAGAUGAUAACCUGCAUGGAACUUAAAGCACAGGGCAGUAAUAACUUAUGGUUAUGGAAUGCCCCAUGCUAUCCUAUAUUUUAAGUGAUUUACCUCUUUAGAUCUUCACAGGAACACUAGAAAAGUGAUACUGUUGUUAUUAAGGCCUGCAUUUUAUAAAUGAAGAGACUACAGGAGACCUGAGUGACUUGCCAAGGUCACCUGCCAAUAAGGAAUGCAGCCAGGAUUUGAACCCAGACCAUCCAGGUGCAGAGAUUACCCCAUGCUAUCAUGUCUCUUAGGAAAUGCUCUGGAAAUGCUGCUGUCAUGAAUGAGGCAGGUCAAUGCCCGGUGCACGGAGUAAAUGAAAAUACUCCAAAAGCUGUGGACCUACGAUGAUCGUCCUGUCUCUCCAGCUCUUCCACUCUCACCUUGCUUCCAAUCUGUUGAUUUGAGCUAAGCUCCGCAAAGUGUUGUCUCUUGAACACCGAUAGUGCACAGACAUUGUCUGGAAGGUACAUACGCAGAUAGAUUCACUCAGCACAAAUUUCUCUAGUACCUACUGAGGGUGCAACCUGAGCAGUGGAUAUUGGAAUUCCUGACAGCACCCAUGCACUGGAGACUCCGUAUUUGUCCCUGAACUGCUGGCAGCCAUUGGGAAGGGUGCUCAAAAAUAAUCUGCCACUUCUCUUACUACACUUUUCAUCUAUUCAUUCUUCUAACAAAUAAUGUUUAAGGUACUCUAUUCCAUGUAGUGUGUGCUAGGCAGCACAGCAUCUAGUAAGACGCAUGAUUUCUGGUUACCAGUCUUGAUAUAUAUUCCAGUUGAAUAAACAACUAAGUGGAUAAAUAGUUUUGGAGAGUGAAAAGUACCAAGAGAAAGAGAGGACUGGGCAUGUGGCUCAAGUGGUAGGGCGCUUGUCUAGCAUGUGUGAGGCACAGGGUUUGAUUCUCAGCACCACAUAAAAAUAAAGAUAUUGUGUCCACCUAAAACUAAAAAAUAAAUACUAAAAAAAAAAAAAGAGAAACAGGGUGAUAUAACACAGUGACUUGGAGAUUACUGAUGAUAAGAGAAGAACGGGAGAGGAGACAGUGUGCAUUUUCAGGUUUGGAGACAGAAUGUUCUAUGCAAAGAGAAUAAAUGCAGAGGCACUGGAGUGUGAGUGGGCUUGGUGUUUUCCAGGAACAGGACUGGAGCAGCUGGAACACUAAGAGGCAGGAGUGGUGUUUAGUUUGCCUUUGACUAAGUCACUGACUCUUUUUAAAUUCCCAUUUUCUCAACUGUAAAUUGGAGGCAAUUUUAUCUGUUUUAGUAAAUGUCUAAUUAGAGAAGAACCAUCAUAUAUAUUUCAAACAGAGGGAAUUCAAUACAGGUAUUGUUUACAAAGGUGUUGGAAGGGCAGGAAACGCAAGAGGACAAUAAGAGCAUGCAGACACUUGCAACUGGAGUUAGCUGCCGCACCCCAUCAGUUGAAGGAACCAAAGGAAAAAUCAUAUUUCCAGAAACUGUUGUUGAGCUGCUGAGUAGGAGCUGAGAGUUGCACUUACUUAAGGGCACUACUGGAAUGCAGUGGAUGCCAUAACUGUGACCUGAUGUGUUGGCGGAAGCUAGAGACUGGAAUGACUUUUCCUUUUUUUUCAUUUUCCAAACUCCCACCAAUGCCUCUCAUUGACAGAAUCAGUUGACAAAGGAGUUUGGGAAAUGUAGUUUAACCCUUGGCCACAGAAUGGUGAGUAUAAGAAGGAAAUGUGGAAAUGAAGACAGCAGAAACCAUUCACACAACCCGUCUUUCAAGGCUGUUUAGAGGAGAAGUGUGUAUAUAUUCAUAAAUCAUGGCUUUUCUUUUUUCUUUUUCUUUUUUCCUUUCUGUUGUACCGGGGAUUGAACUCAGAGAGGUUCUACCACUGAGCUACAUCCCCAGCCUCCCACCUACCCCUUUUUGAAACAGGGUCUUGCUAAGUUGCUGAGACCGGCCUUGAAUUUGGUAUCCUCCUGCCUCAGCCUCCCAAGGUGCUGGGAUUACAGGUGUGCCUCACCAUACCUGGCAAAUUAUGCUUAUUAUACUUUAUAGCACAUUGUAGCCAUUCAGGGAGAGGAAAUCUUUCAAAAACAUCUUUGGUAUGGUAUUUCCACAGAAAGCUUUGAAUUUGCAAUUAAAAGCAUAAAAAAUUAGCAUCUUAAAAAUAGAAUUUUAGGGUUGGAGAUGUAGCUCAGUGGUACAGCAAUUGCUAACAUGUGCAAGGCCCUGGGUUCAAUCCUCAUCAUCGCACACACAAAAAUAAUAAUUCUUUUUAUGUUAAAUUAAAUAGAAUUUUAAUUUGGAAUACUUAACAUGUUCAUGUGGUACAAAAUUCACAUUAUAGGGCUGGGGUUGUGGCUCAGUGGAAGAGCGCUUGCCUGGCAUGUGUAAGGCACUGGGUUUGAUUCUCAGCGCCACAAAUAAAUAAAUAAAUAAAUAUUCAUCAACAACUAAUAAAAAUAUAUUUUUUUAAAAAAUUCACAUUAGGGUCUGGGGUUGUGGCUCAGUGGUAGAGUGCUCGCCUAGUGUGCAUGAGGCACUGGGUUCAAUCCUCAGCACCACAUAAAUGUAAAAUAGAGAUGUUGUGUCCACCUAAAACUUAAAAAUAAAUUAAAAAAAAAUUCACUUAUAAGGGGCUGGGAUUGUGGCUCAGUAGUAGAGCGCUUACCUAGCAUGUGUGAGGCCCUGGGUUUGAUCCUCAGCACCACAUAAAAAUAAACAAAAUAAAGGUAUCGUGUUCAACUACUUCUAAAAAAAAUGUUUUAAAAAAUUAACAUUAUAAAACAAUAUACAGUGAAAGUAAGUUUUCCUUUUUCAUCUUUCCAUCAUUUAAUCUUCUCCAUCCCCCAUAUAUAAAGUGUAUGCAUACAUUAAAAGCAAAAAAAAUGGGGCUGGGGGUGUGGCUCAAGUGGUAGCGCGCUUGCCAUGCGUGCAGGCUGGGUUCGAUCCUCAGCACCACAUACAAACAAAGGUGUGUCCACUGAAAACUUUAAAUAAAUAAAAAAAAAAUUCUC
rnacentral:lncRNA from 1 species